CUACUCUGACACACCUGGAUUAAUCAGUCUGUCCAAUAAUGGGAAAUAAAGAAGCUGCAUUAAAUUCAGGAGGUAGUGGAUUGGAACCCAUAUAGAACCCAUUAUGGGUUCUGGUCAUUCGAUUUUGUUGUUCAGGUUUGGUUAUUUUGACAGCAUGUGUCCAACUGGUUGGAGUUUUUUGGUUGUUGUCAUUUAUAUUGUUUAUGUAAUUUGAGUUAUUUUGGGUUUGUCAUUUUUCUUUGAGUUUGAGCCCACUAAUCUCUUUUUUGUGUCCUUUUUCAGUUGCUGAGAGCCAGCGGUGGUGGUUCACCCUUAUAAUGUGCUGUAUCCCCGGUCCUCAGUUGUUACACUGUGUGAAUUUUGGUGUUAUUGUCACCUCCUUUGACUCACCGCACCUUGGUAAGAUUCAGCUCCUAAAAAAGGUUCCCCCUUCCCUGAGUGGGUGUGAUAUUUUAUUGAGGAUUUUUUAAAAUAAAGGAUUUCUUUCUUUUUAAAAUGAAACGUCUCCUGCUUCUUUUAAAGGCAGAACAAAUCUGAGUGCUUUAAAAAAUUUCCCUCAAAACUAAUUCCUUGGGCGAAAAUACCAAGGUGGCAUUAUUGGCUUUUAAAAUCAUCCAAAAACAACUAACAUCUUAACCAAACUAAAAUCUUUCAUUUCACCCCUUGACCUGCCACAUAUGUAACAGGCAAAAUGAAGGCAUGCAUGUUGCAAUCAUUUCUAGAGGGGUGAGUUUUGCUUUGCUGUUGAACUUGCUGCUUGUUGUCUGUAAUUGUUCAGCACAGAGUAGGAAGUCUUGGCUUGAAGAUGCAAACUCUGCAAGCUGCACCUGAAUAACAGGGAAAAUUGGACACCAUGGAGCAAUAAUUUGACCCAAUGUGUAUACUGUCACAUCUCCUGAUUAGUUAAGUUGUUUUUAUUUCAUCCCUCAUGUUUCUUGUGUUUCCUGUUUUAAUACUCACCCUUGUCUCUUGUUUCAGGUUCAUUGACUUCCUCCUCCUUGUGUAACCUGCUCCCCUGAUUACCCCGAUGUUCUGACCUCAUUUCAGUAUUGUUCGACUUGGCCUCUUGCCUGUUGAUUUGGAUACCUCUGCCUGUGCUUUUUUGGAUCCUGUGUACCAACUCUUUUUUUGAUUGUGAGUUUGCUUCUCUUUUGGUUCAGUGUUAGCCUGUCUACCUUAUAAGGGUGUAUACAGUGUGCAUGGAAAGGGACACUCACGCUCUCUAAACGCUUGAAUCCCUCUCUGUUAUGCUGCAACUCAAGCCUUUUGUUUAAUAAACAAUUUGUCAGUGAUGUAUUGAACGCUGGCUCUAAUUUGAUUGUGUG